CAACCCUCAAGCUCUGCUUGGUGUUGAGCCCGCCCCGCUUACCCGGGGCUCGCUUCAAAAUCAGUGGCGGCCGCCGUCCGACCUUCAGCGCAGUAAUGCUCGUCGCUGGUAGGGAAGGGCAGCAAGGGCCGUCAUCCAACCCCCACACACACAA
rnacentral:misc_RNA from 1 species